CAGCAGCCGCGGUAAUACGGAGGGUGCGAGCGUUAAUCGGAAUUACUGGGCGUAAAGCGUACGCAGGCGGUCUGUUAAGUCAGAUGUGAAAUCCCCGGGCUUAACCCGGGAACUGCAUUUGAAACUGGCAGGCUAGAGUCUCGUAGAGGGGGGUAGAAUUCCAGGUGUAGCGGUGAAAUGCGUAGAGAUCUGGAGGAAUACCGGUGGCGAAGGCGGCCCCCUGGACGAAGACUGACGCUCAGGUACGAAAGCGUGGGGAGCAAACAGGAUUAGAUACCCCGGUAGUCCCUGUCUCUUAUAA
rnacentral:rRNA from 1 species